rnacentral:rRNA from 1 species
GCAAACCGCGAAUGGCUCAAAACACCAGACUUAGUUCCUUAGAUCUUACACGGUUACUUGGAUAACUGUGGUAAUUCUAGAGCUAAUACAUGCAAUCAGAGCUCUGACUUCGGAAAGAGUGCUUUUAUUAGAUCAAAACCAAUCGGCCGCGGUUCGCCGCCGCGUUUCCACCGAUGAAUCUGAAUAACUUUGCAGAUCGCACGGUCUCGCACCGGCGACGUAUCUUUCAAAUGUCUGCCUUAUCAACUUUCGAUGGUAGUUUCUACGACUACCAUGGUUGUCACGGGUAACGGGGGAUUAGGGUUCGAUUCCGGAGAGGGAGCCUGAGACACGGCUACCACAUCCAAGGAAGGCAGCAGGCGCGCAAAUUACCCACUCCCGGCACGGGGAGGUAGUGACGAAAAAUAACGGUACGGGACUCUUAUGAGGCCUCGUAAUCGGAAUGAGUACACUUUAAAUAUUUUAACGAGGAACAAUUGGAGGGCAAGUCUGGUGCCAGCAGCCGCGGUAAUUCCAGCUCCAAUAGCAUAUUCUAGAAUUGUUGCGGUUAAAAAGCUCGUAGUUGCAUUUGUGUGCCGCACUGCCGGUCCAUCGCUCACGCGGUGCGACUGGCAGGCUUGCGGGGCAUAUCGCCGGUGAGCGGCCGGUAAAACGGCGUGCUCAACUGAAAAUCCUGCUGCGGUGCUCUUCGCUGAGUGUCGAGAUGGGCCGGCAAUUUUCUUUGACGAAUUAGAGUGCUCAAAGCGGGCUAUCGUUUGGAUAAAGGUGCAUGGAAUAAUGGAAUAUGAUCAUGGUUUUAUUUUGUUGGUUUUAGAGACCAAGAUAAUGAUUAAUGGAAGCAACUGGGGGCAUUCGUAUUGCGACGUUAGAGGUGAAAUUCUUGGAUCGUCGCAAGACGGACCACUGCGAAAGCAUUUGCCAAAGGUGUUUUCAUCAAUCAAGAACGAAAGUUAGAGGUUCGAAGGCGAUUAGAUACCGCCCUAGUUCUAACCAUAAAUGUUGCUGUCUAACGAUCCGCCGACGUUAACUCUAAUGGCUCGGCGGGCAGCUU